GGUGCUGCCAGGGCCGGUAUGUGGGCGUGGAGUUUUUACUCUGUAUUUUUAUUGUACAAGAGUACAUUGCCUGUCAUCACUAUCAGCUAUUAAUCCCUAGCCCUGACUAGGUACCCCGCACCAAAUACUUAUUGAGAGUGUUGUGGGCGGUGCACUGUCCUGUGAGCUACACAAGACAGAAUAAUUAAUAAUAAUGAUAAUAGUAAUAAUAAUAAUAAUUCUCUCUGGAAAAUUUAGUCUGAGGUGUUUACUUUCAUAGCCAAGGAGAGAUGUUAAGUUGCCAAUUGGAUACAUUCCUGCCAGAGCUCAGUGUGAAGGUCAGGGCUGGAGGUGUGACUUAAUUACCUUACCCACAUUUCCCACUGAACGUGUGAAGUAAUUAAAGCCAUGGAACUGCAUGAGGUCAUUUAGGGAGAGAGUGAGCAAAAGGAGAAUGAAGAGAAGAGGACCCAAGUUGAUCCUUGGAGUGCCCCACCGUUUCGCAGUGGCAGGAAGCUGACUGGGAGAGGAAGCCGGUGAAGGCGUCCCGGCGUUGAAGCAGAGCCAGUGCCAACGACGCUGAAAGCUGAUGGUACAGACGCAGCUGCUGGAUCCAACGAGAUCUGGUUCCCUGGGAAGCAGACUCUGGAUGGAGUUUUACCUACGGAAAAGUUAUUGGGGAUGGGGCAGAGGACAAAGGUGUUUCAGUUUGCAACACCUACUCUGGAGUUGGAGGCCAGUUCAAAGGUGCAAGGCAACUGAAAGACUAAACUAAGGUCACUGGCCAAAUGUAUUUUGCAACCAGCAUAGAGUAGAAUACUAUGCAGCUGUGCAAAGGAUGAAGACACUCCUUGUAUACUGAUACAGAGGAAUCUCAAAGACAUAUUGUUUGGUGGAGAAUACAGAAGGGUAUCUGUAAUAUGCUGUGAAUUUAGGUAUAAAGGAGGGGAGGUAUGUGUGGGUAUUCACCCGUUUAUGAAUAAAAACAACCUCUGGAACACUAUACAAGGAGCUAAUGAGAAUGGUCAUUUAUUGGGGGAAAAUGGGAAUUGGCUGGAUGAGGGGCACAGAGGUAGGAAAGAAUUUGACUGUAAUCAUUAUUAGACUUUUAGAUUCUUUAAUCAGGUGAACUUGUAAUUUAUAAUCAUUUGAAAUGUUUGAAAUUGUUUGAAAUGUUAAAUAAGUAGAAGGAAGAAGGAAGGAAAGGAGGGAGGGUUAGGGGACAUGUUUAGAUUUCAUCAGUGUCUACCACAGGGUAUUAGGAAGGCCAUUUGGCUCAGGGCAUGCCAUUCAGAAAGGGUCUCAAAAUUACAUCUCCAAAUGAGAUUUUACCCACAUUCACAAAAACGGCAUUUACCAGCAACUUUAUACUUGGGUCCCAUUACCAAGUCACAUCUUCUGUAGCAUACAGUUGACCCUUGAAGAACACAGGGGCUGGGGGAGCUGACCCCCCAUGCAGUAAAAAAUCCAUGUAUAACUUU